UGUGAGCAGAUACAGUGCUGCUGGGACAAGCCCAUCCUUGUCCUUAGGUCUGGUCCAAGCAGGGUUGCUGGACAGAUCCUCACCCAUAAGCACAGGUCGGCUUCAUGUUGAACAAACUGCUCAGGCACCUUUUCUGCACUGGAUCCUGAAGCAAGGAAUUUGGAAGAGGAUGGUGACGUGUAAGAGCUUCUUCUCCCUGAGUUGAGGUGCAGAGGCAGGAUUGGAGCUCCAGCCGCACAGGUUUCCUAGAGUGGAUGGAUGGACGGAUGGAUGAACGGACAGACAGAUGGAUGGAUGGCAUCCCCAGGACACGCGUGCCCAACGCAGCCACAGCAGGAGGACACUGUCACUCAGCAACGGGUAAGCAAUGACUAACACUUCCUAGGGUGUCAAACAUACCAUGUCACUGAUCUCUUUCCAAGGAAGUGUAAAAUGAGGAAGAGCAGGGUUUGAAGAGAGAGAGAAUGAGAGAAGCAAGCGUGAGUCAGCCCCUGGAUAACCUUGAACGCAUUAACAGAUGGCUGGGACCCAAUGAGCAGCGUUUGCAAAGGCACCACCGUUCAAUCAGCAAUCCUUGUUUUCUGCAGGAUAAAAAAACAGGCUGUUAAAAGGAAGCGGCAGGGCCGGGCGGAGGGUGUCUGAUUGCACUGCACGGAGGCGGUCGCUUCCAGCAUCUGUCACUGCACAGCUUUCGGGAAUGUAUAUGUACAAAUAAAUGCAAUGAAAAGGUCUCCAGUUCCAGUGAAAGGAAAUGAUUUCCUCCUCAAGUGAUUAUGGGUACCAUUAUGCAAAUAGUAGCCAGGCCAACAAAACAGCCUCAUAGGGAAGGGGAACAGAGGCAGCAAAAGCAGCUUCCAAGACAUCCUGGCAGGGGACAGCAAGAUAUUACCUGUAUAAGGACCCAGCCAGAGAAGAGUGGGGUGCAACCCAUCUGAGGGGCAGGGGCUGAGAAAUAAUCACUGCCCUAAGGGAAGUAAAGGGAAAGGGUAAUGGAAAGAUACUUGAGAACAAGCAACAGCCUCUGCACCACGCAGGCUCUCCUCAGCCAUAUGCUCACUUGUGGUUUUGGAGCUGAUGAAGCAUGAGCCAGCUGGGACAGAGAAAAGCAGGGAUCUGUGCUGUGGAAGUCCAAAAGCUCUGCUUCCAGAAGGUUUGUGCUGCACAGGCUGGUCACAGGCUGCCCAGCUCUCGCCUUGGACACUGCCGAAACUACCAGAGUUUGGCUGUGCUCCUUUCUUCUCUCCUUUGCAAGCAUUUAGCAGUAGCAGAUAAAUAAACUGACAUCAAUCAUCUGUGCAUAGCA